AGAUUCUCUUCGUAUUUAAACCCCUUUAAGCCAUUUCUUUGGUUCAUAAUCAGCCUCCAACACCCUUAUGAUUUUAGAUUAAACGUAUAGAUAAUUGUCAAAGUCUGAAAGAGGAAUUGAAUAGAGUGAAUGAUAAGUAUAUAAGGAAAUAGGAUUUAGGUGACAAUUCAGGCACACAAACACCACCCGAUUCUGGUCUUGUUUUUAAAUCAAUGCCACCAACACUCAAUGUUGCCGUCAUCACACAUGUCAACGCUUUGUAACAUGCACUACCUUUGUUGGUUGGUUCACUUUCAGAUCGCUAGACUCUUGCUCCAAGGAAAAUAUGGGUUUUAAUUAAUCUCUAAGGAAUUGCAGAAGCAGGUGAUGGGGUAGAACCGGUGAAAUUUCGAAGUUGACGAAUAUGAAGGGAAGAUAGCAGGCGUUACUAUUUUCCAUGGCUAUUUUUUAUUUUAUGUCAUAUGGAUAUUUCUAGGAUUUCUAUAAAAUGUCUCUUCUGUUCUAUGGUUUUGCUCAUGGUUAAUCCUGAAAUAUUUUACUACCAAACAACAAUUGGAAAGUUAUCUAAGUAGACUCAGAUGUGAUCUGUUAUGGUCUAAGUGUAAAUUUCUCAAUUUAGUAAUUUAUUUUAGGUUAUUAAAUUUUUUUUA